ensembl:snoRNA
UCUCCUUUUCUUGGUGGGGGUCAAGUGUGUGGCCCCUGCCCCCAUAAAGUAUUGAGGCAGAAAGAAAGGGCUCCAGCCCUCUUCCAUACCACGUCCUUGGUACCCCAUGGCUUUUAGUCUACCAGUUAUAUCCUCAAGCACCAGGACAUGG